GCAGACACAUUCCAGCCAAUCAGCAGCAGACCCUCCCUCCCAGACCCUCCUAUCUCCUGGACAGCAUCCAUUUUACAUUCAUUGUGAAGCUGCAUUCUUAGUGAGCUGUCCAGGAGGUGGGAGGGUCUGGGAGGGAGGGUCUGCUGCUGAUUGGCUGGAAUGUGUCUG